rnacentral:rRNA from 1 species
UCUUAGCAACCGAUUUGGUCCUAGUCCUUUUUUUGGCUCCCUCUAAAACGAUACAUGCAAGCUACUCAGCAACACAGUGAGUAAUACUUUAGUUGUCCUAAAAAGAGACAACCCAAUAACCCAAAGGUAUCAGAUAAUACACUUAAUUCUAAAACACCUGGUUAUCCCACACCUGCAGUACCUAAUAUUAUACAAUAAGUUAAAGCUUGAUAUAGUUAUAUAAUUGAGAGUUGGUUAAUUAUGUGCCAGCCGCCGCGGUUAUACAUAAAACUCAAACCAAAAAACAUCGGUCUAAAAGUGACUUAGGGUAACCUAAACUUUAAGGGAGAAAAUAACUCUAGUAUUAACAAACUCUCACAGUAAACUAAUAACAAAAUAUUUCCUUAAACCCCCGCACCCAAAACACCAAAGCUCAAAAAUAAACUGGGAUUAGAUACCCCACUAUAUGAGCCGU